AACGCACAUUGCGCUCCCUGGUAUUCCGGGGAGCAUGCCUGUUCGAGCGUCAUUAUCAACCAUCAAGCACUGCUUAGUAUUGGGCGUCGUCCCCCCGUGGACGUGCCUUAAACGCCUCGGCGGCGGUUCCAAACCUCAAGCGUAGUAGAAUAUCUUAUUUAGCUUUCUAGGUUUGGGGCUGCUCUGCCUCUAGACACCAUUUACCUCAAGGUUGACCUCGGAUCAGGUAGGGAUACCCGCUGAACUUAA
rnacentral:misc_RNA from 2 species